rnacentral:rRNA from 1 species
GACGAACGCUGGCGGCGUGCUUAACACAUGCAAGUCGAACGGAAAGGCCCUGCUUUUGUGGGGUGCUCGAGUGGCGAACGGGUGAGUAACACGUGAGUAACCUGCCCUUGACUUUGGGAUAACUUCAGGAAACUGGGGCUAAUACCGGGUAGGAGCUCCUGCUGCAUGGUGGGGGUUGGAAAGUUUCGGCGGUUGGGGAUGGACUCGCGGCUUAUCAGCUUGUUGGUGGGGUAGUGGCUUACCAAGGCUUUGACGGGUAGCCGGCCUGAGAGGGUGACCGGCCACAUUGGGACUGAGAUACGGCCCAGACUCCUACGGGAGGCAGCAGUGGGGAAUAUUGCACAAUGGGCGGAAGCCCGAUGCAGCAACGCCGCGUGCGGGAUGACGGCCUUCGGGUUGUAAACCGCUUUCGCCUGUGACGAAGCGUGAGUGACGGUAAUGGGUAAAGAAGCACCGGCUAACUACGUG